rnacentral:rRNA from 1 species
UACGUAGGGGGCUAGCGUUAUCCGGAAUUACUGGGCGUAAAGGGUGCGUAGGUGGUUUCUUAAGUCAGAGGUGAAAGGCUACGGCUCAACCGUAGUAAGCCUUUGAAACUGGGAAACUUGAGUGCAGGAGAGGAGAGUGGAAUUCCUAGUGUAGCGGUGAAAUGCGUAGAUAUUAGGAGGAACUCCGAUUGCGCAGGCAGCUUACUAAACUACUACUGACGCUCAGGCACGAAGGCGUGGGGAUCAAACAGGAUUAGAUACCCCCGUAGUCCCUGAGCGGG